UUUCAGGACUCAUUUCAUCCAGAGAUUUACCUGACCAGGUGGGAUUCUCUCUACAGGUAAACCUACAACCUCAGCUCUGCCCACCCCGACAACCCCGCCUCCUCCAACACCACCUGCCUCAGCCCCCUUCCAGCUUGUGUUCAGACUGAUCUGCCACCUGGUGGUCUUCUGUCCGUACUUCAUCUCCACUGUCCUCAUGGUGUCUUUAUAUCGACACAGGGCCACAGGACAUGACCUGCCAGUCUCUAUGGUGAUGACCCCGUCUACCGAGGCUGAGGAGGGAUUGGAUGAUGACUAUGAUGAUGUCACCACAGAGCAUCACUUCUGAGCUGAUCCAGUGUGUUCAGUGUGUUCUUUAAUGAAGCUAAAACGUUUGAUUCAUCAGCAAAUAAACCUCAGAUAUCACAAACAGCAGAGGACCCAGAUCAUUAUCAGGAUUAACUCUGUCAGGUUUAGUGAAGCUUUAUCACUCAGAGAAAGACUGACUGUGGUGAACUUGAUUCAUGAUACAGACCCCUGGACAAAUGGACAAAGCUGUCGACAUGUUUUUGGUCCAAAUAAAAGCUCAGGUUCAGGUUCUGGUUUGAGUUUUGUUGUUACUCUUGCUUGUUUGGUUUAGAUGUUAAACAGGGUGAUAUGUUUACUUUUUAUUUACUUUAAAAGUUUUCAAUAAACUUCACAAAAUUGACCAAACCUCAGUCUCUGUGUCAUGCUAAGUUACAAGUUAUACAGAGGAUGUAUCAUGUUUUUGGGUUUGGUGCAACGGUAGACAGAACGGACCCAAACGCAACGCUGAGGGUUUGAAAAGGAGGUUUGAGGAAAAAGGGGGACGAGGAGGGACGGGAGGAAAGAGGGGGAGAGGCAGACGAGGACGCGGGGGACCGAGUAGCUGGAGGAGCGGAAGGUGCUUAGGCUGGAGGUUCGAGGCAGGCUGGCAGACGGGGAGGAGAGGACGCAGUGACCGGGGACCCGGCGGGGUGCAAGGGGGGAAGCCGGAGGGCGUCAUGGAGGCGGCGAGAGGAGGAGGAGGCUGGCGUGCAAGCCCGGCUGGCCGAACUGGGAGGCAGAGGUGAGUGAACCUGGCAGGAGGAAACAGACAGACAGGGUUAGUAGGUAACUGGGACGUGAAGCAAAGGGAAAUUUC